CCUACGGGGGGCUGCAGUGGGGAAUAUUGGACAAUGGGGGGAACCCUGAUCCAGCCAUGCCGCGUGUGUGAAGAAGGCCCUCGGGUUGUAAAGCACUUUCAGUGAGGAAGAACGCCUGGUGGUUAAUACCCAUCAGGAAAGACAUCACUCACAGAAGAAGCACCGGCUAACUCCGUGCCAGCAGCCGCGGUAAUACGGAGGGUGCGAGCGUUAAUCGGAAUUACUGUGCGUAAAGCGCGCGUAGGUGGCUUGAUAAGCCGGUUGUGAAAGCCCCGGGCUCAACCUGGGAACGGCAUCCGGAACUGUCAAGCUAGAGUGCAGGAGAGGAAGGUAGAAUUCCCGGUGUAGCGGUGAAAUGCGUAGAGAUCGGGAGGAAUACCAGUGGCGAAGGCGGCCUUCUGGACUGACACUGACACUGAGGUGCGAAAGCGUGGGUAGCAAACAGGAUUAGAUACCCUAGUAGUC
rnacentral:rRNA from 1 species